rnacentral:rRNA from 1 species
UAAAAUUAAAAAAUUUGGCGGUAUUUUAGUCUUUUCAGAGGAACCUGUUCUGUAAUUGAUAAUCCACGAUUAAUUGUACUUACUUUUAUAAAUUUAUAUAUCGUCGUAGUUUGAAUAUUUUUAAAGAAAAUUAAUAUUCAAGAUUUUUUAUUAAAAAAUAAAUCAGAUCAAGGUGUAGUUUAUAAGUAAGAAGAAAUGGGUUACUAUAAAUAUAUUUAUGGAUUUAUUUAUUAAAAUAAAUAAUGAAAUAGGAUUUGAAAGUAAUUUUAAAUAUUUUUUUAAAAUGAUUUUAGCUCUAAAAUAUGUACAUAUUGCCCGUCGCUUUUGUUUUAAAAUGAAAUAAGUCGUAACAAAGUAGAUUUACUGGAAAGUGAAUCUAGAAA